rnacentral:rRNA from 1 species
UACGUAGGGGGCAAGCGUUGUCCGGAAUCAUUGGGCGUAAAGAGCGUGUAGGCGGUUCGGUAAGUCGGCUGUGAAAGUCCAGGGCUCAACCCUGGGAUGCCGGUCGAUACUGCCGGACUAGAGUUCGGAAGAGGCGAGUGGAAUUCCCGGUGUAGCGGUGAAGUGCGCAGAUAUCGGGAGGAACACCUAUGGCGAAGGCAGCUCGCUGGGACGUUACUGACGCUGAGGUGCGAAAGCGUGGGGAGCGAACAGG